UACAGAGGGUGCAAGCGUUAAUCGGAAUUACUGGGCGUAAAGAGCACGUAGGUGGUUGUUUAAGUUGGAUGUGAAAUCCCCGGGCUUAACCUGGGAGGGUCAUUCAAAACUGAGCGACUAGAGUACGGUAGAGGGAAGUGGAAUUUCCGGUGUAGCGGUGAAAUGCAUAGAUAUCGGAAGGAACAUCAGUGGCGAAGGCGACUUCCUGGACUGAUACUGACACUGAGGUGCGAAAGCGUGGGGAGCAAACAGG
rnacentral:rRNA from 1 species